rnacentral:rRNA from 1 species
GUAAUUGGAAUGAGAACAAUUUAAAAUCCUUAUCGAUCACCAAUUGGAGGGCAAGUCUGGUGCCAGCAGCCGCGGUAAUUCCAGCUCCAAUAGCGUAUAUUAAAGUUGUUGCAGUUAAAAAGCUCGUAGUUGGAUUUCUGGCAGGGGGCAACAGCCCGCUUGCAGCGUGUGCUUGCCGUCCCCUACCAUCCUUCUGUUAACGCGCCAGGACAUUCACUUGUCGGGCGCGGGCUCAGAUAAUUUACCUUGAGAAAAUUAGAGUGUUUCAGGUAGGCUGACGCCGGGAUACAUUAGCAUGGAAUAAUGGAAUAGGACUUUCGCCUCUUCUGUUGGUCUGAGGGGUGAUCGUAAUGAUUAAUAGGGAUAGUUGGGGGCAUUAGUACUUAACUGUCAGAGGUGAAAUUCUUGGACUUGUUAAAGACGGACUACUGCGAAAGCAUUUGCCAAGGAUGUUUUCAUUGAUCAAGAACGAAAGUUAGGGGAUCGAAGACGAUCAGAUACCGUCCUAGUCUUAACCAUAAACCAUGCCGACUAGAGAUU